rnacentral:sRNA from 1 species
AAGGCUUUUUAGGAACUCACUGGCUUCAGGUUCCAUCAGAACUUCGAAGUUAAGCGAGUUUGCGCGAAAGUAAUCUCAUGAUGGGUGACCUACUAGGAAGUUCUCGUGUGAGUUUCUAGAAACAAAACCGUAAGGGCGUGGUCGGGGCCCAAAGAGGACAAUAUUGUGCUACGGUGGAGUCGAGCCCGAGAUGUGGUGGGGGCCUGGGGCGGGAUGUGACAAUUUGGUAUCAGAACCAAUCCCUGGCCGGAAGUGUGCCGACGAGGACGUCGGGGCCCUAAGGGGAGUGGAUUGUAACAUCCCACAUCGCCCAGGGGAGUGGAUACUAUAAGUCUUAUAUGUAUAUUCCCAUCUCUACAUAGCACGAGACAUUUUGGGAGCUCACUGGCUUCGAGUUCCAUCAGAACUCCGAAGUUAAGUGAGUUUGGGCGAGAGUAAUCCCAUGAUGGGUGACCCACUGGGAAGUUCUCGUGUGAGUUUCC